rnacentral:rRNA from 1 species
UACGUAGGUGGCAAGCGUUGUCCGGAUUUAUUGGGUUUAAAGGGUGCGUAGGCGGCUUUGUAAGUCAGUGGUGAAAUAUGGCAGCUCAACUGUCAAGGUGCCAUUGAUACUGCGGAGCUUGAGUACAGAUGAGGUAGGCGGAAUUGACGGUGUAGCGGUGAAAUGCUUAGAUAUCGUCAAGAACACCUAUAGCGAAGGCAGCUUACUAGGCUGUAACUGACGCUGAGGCACGAAAGUGUGGGGAUCAAGCAGG